UCAUAGAGGGUGAGAAUCCCGUCUNCACACGGCCUNCCGGGCUGUGUGAUGUGCUCUCAAAGAGUCGAGUUGUUUGGAAUGCAGCUCAAAAUGNGUGGUAAAUUCCAUCUAAAGCUAAAUAUUGGCGAGAGACCGAUAGCGAACAAGUACCGUGAGGGAAAGAUGAAAAGAGCUCAGGAAAGAGAGUUAAACAAUGCGUGAAAUUGCUGAAAGGGAAACGCUCGAAGUCAGUCGCGUUGGCCAGGGAUCAGCCUUCCUCCUUUGCUUGGCUUACUUUCCGGUCGAUGGGUCAGCAUCAAUUUUGUCUGGUGGAAAAAGUUCAAGGGAAUGUGGCAUCUUCGGAUGUGUUAUAGCCUUGUUCACAUUCAUCAGUUUGGAUUGAGGCUCUCAGCACGCCUCAAGUCCGGGUUUUAAGACCCGUCCGUGCUUAGGAUGCUGGCAUAAUGGCUUUAAUCGACC
rnacentral:rRNA from 1 species